CCAGGGAGCCGGGCGCUGCCGGGAAACUCGCACCGUCUCUUCGUAUCUGUUACAGGCCCCGCGGUUCACCGUCUGCUCGGAAAUUGGACUAGAAAGGAGCUCAGAGAGGGGGCUUGACUUGCCUUGGGUCACACAGGAGUCAAGCAACAGGAAUUCAACCCAGGUCUGCUCUGGGGCAGUCAAAGAUCACUAGAAAUCAGUUCUCUGAAGCCAGGCUGUCUGGAUGUGAAUCUCAACUCUGUCUUUCAAUAGCUGUGUGACUUUGGGCAAGUCACUGAACCUCUCUGAGCCUCCACUUCCUCACCUGUAAAACGAAGAUAAAAAUUGUAUCUAUGUCAUAAGGUUAUUGCGAGGACUAAAUGCAGAACACUUAGAAUGACUAUUAUUAUUAAUUCCUAAUAUUAAUG